UAUCCAGAGAAAGAAAAAGAUAGUGAUCAACAUGAAAAGAGACUUUAUAAACUAUCAGUGACAGGAAAGAAAAGAAGCUUCAGAAGAGGUAGAGAAUUAAGAAGAUGCUUUAAUUAAGCUGAAAUAUCUCUCUGUUAAAACUAUGGAGAUGGACAAUGAAGUCCUGAAAAGAACUCCUUUAAUUCAUGGUACAGUAUCUAGAGAGGAAUAAAGUGUUCAAAGUGUAAAUUUGAGUAAAAAGUAGAGUAACUAUGGUAUAGUGAAGUGCUGGGAGAUUUGAAGCCUUGAGAGGCAAUGAGAAAACUGUUUUCUAGUGAAGCUCACAAAAACAGAUGAAGAAGACUUUUUUGCCUUUGAAUAACUUAUCCUUAAAAAUGCUAUCUCUAGACUCAUGGCUCAUACACACUUCAGAGUGAUGUGAAAAUGGGAGGAGUGAACUCUAAUAAUAGCAGCUCUGGGCAGCUAACAUUAGGGCAAUGGAAAACUAUAACAAAAAUAGUUUUCUUGUGAGAAACUCCAUAAAUUAACAGGAAGAAACUUCUGUUUCUCUGCAAAGACUGGUGAAAAGACUGUAGCAAGAAUUGGGACUGUUUUAACCAUCAAAGUUCCAAAGUUUUUGUCUCUGUUGUCAUGUGAACAAAGGAAUAGUGGGUAGAUAGGAGAUGGAAAGGUUUUUCUGAAGUUUAUUCUGGUGUUCUUAUUAUUGUAAUUUGUCAAUAAACUUUCUUUUUUUUUUCCCUUUUAAGUUUUAUGCCUGUUUUGCUCUUGUUCUAAUCCAUAUGUCACAGCAAGAAAUAAGUAAUUUUCUUAGUUAUUGAUUUAAAACCACGACACCCUGUUAAAAAACAAAUCAAAACAAACACAGAAAACACCCCCAAACACUAGCAUUCUUCAUCUUCUUACUAAACAGUACUUUCUUGGGGAGCUUAAUUAUUUAACAAGCAGUUUAAUUCACCUCAUCAACCCAUUCUGCUUGAUCUUUCUUCUGCAGCUGGCUGCACCAGGCUGCUGUGCCUGCUCCCAAACUGCCAGCUCCACACAGCCUCAGUAUCCACAGCAUCUGGAAGUAUGAUUUUCCCUACUCAGUGCCAGCCACCAUCCCUGCAAAGCUCCUGCAUGGACCCCAGCACAUCACUUAUCCAAAGUGCUGCCAAGCACUGGACAGUACGAAGACAUCAAGCAAAAGCUCAACAGAGAGAAGCUUUGCAAGCUAUUCUAAGAUAAAAACUCCAAAGAUGAUCCAAAAUCCAGUGAAGUCUGUGAAAAACCUCCCUCUCCCUUUUCUUUGGAAUCUGUCUCAAAUGAGGUGCUGCACUUUUGUGCCAUGCUUCCCACUCUCCCCAAGGGAAACAACAGUGACUACCUGGCUCAAGCUUUUGUUCCUUGCACAAAGCACUGAAGAGGAGAUGGCAGCACCUCAGCUUCUCACUGAAACAGCCUAAACAAUAAGCCAAACAUGUUUAUGUGGGAAUGUAUUUGAGUGUUUAUAUGCCAGCUCUGUUCUUAGAGACUCUCACUGUAGGAAAAUGAGAAAAUAAAGUACUUAACUGUGCAAGUAAUUUCA
rnacentral:lncRNA from 1 species